rnacentral:tRNA from 1 species
UGUGAUGUCGUCCAACGGUUUAGGGCACCGAUCUGAUACAUCGGAAACCAGGGUUCAACUCCCUGCUUCACUA